UACGUAGGUGGCAAGCGUUGUCCGGAAUUAUUGGGCGUAAAGCGCGCGCAGGCGGUCCUUUAAGUCUGAUGUGAAAGCCCACGGCUCAACCGUGGAGGGUCAUUGGAAACUGGGGGACUUGAGUACAGAAGAGAAGAGUGGAAUUCCAGGUGUAGCGGUGAAAUGCGUAGAUAUCUGGAGGAACACCGGUGGCGAAGGCGGCAUCCUGGACCAAUAUUGACGCUGAGGAGCGAAAGCCAGGGGAGCAAACGGG
rnacentral:rRNA from 1 species